rnacentral:misc_RNA from 1 species
GUGAAUCAUCGAAUUUUUGAACGCAAAUUGCACUCUCUUCGAAGAGUAUGAGUGUUUGAGUGUCAGCCUAAAAAAAAUCGACAUACUCGCUGUUUCCCGGUUACCUUCGUCGGGCAUUGGGUCAUCUUAGACCUGUGGGUGGUAAGCGGCUUAAAAUUUUCUUUACGAUUCUACGAACGGUUCUAAGAUUUACUUACACGUUUAAGGUAUCGAUUUUUAUUAGACGUGUCCGUUGCAUCGGAUCACGUCAUUAAA